GCCCGAAUGGCUCAGUGGUAAAGCGUCUCACUAGUACCGUCUGUUUCGGUUUUCAAAUUGAGACAGUCAAUCCGACAUGAGAAGAUCGCCAGUUCGAUUCUGGCUUUGGGCA
rnacentral:tRNA from 2 species